ensembl:lncRNA
AGCCCUGCAGUGGGAUAGGGCCACAGGGGGAUCAGUGCCUCCCACAGCAUGCCAGGGCUGCAAGCCCAGACACUGUCUGAUGGGUUUAUGAAUGCGCCCAUGGUGCCACGGGCCGGAGCCAUGCCGGCGGCUCCGGGCUCCAGGCUGGAAGCAGUGUUGGUGUGCCAGGCAGAGGGGACGUGGCUGUGUUUACAGCUGUUUUGGAUACGUCUCAUCUGAACACGUAUACAGCUGUCCUGGAUACAUGUAAUCACUGCUCACCAACAUGAUGGUUAAUCUAAACACCUUCCACUUCACUGGGCAAAACAACCACUGCCUGCUGCAGGAACCCGUUUGCUUUGGGAGCAGGGAGGUGUUGCUGUGGGAAGACACUUAACUCUUACAAAUCUGUUGAUGUUCCUCCACCCGCCUUCUGGUCCUCUGUGUAAAGGCAGAGCUCGUGCUGCUUUCAGGGGUCCCAUGCCCACAGUGCCUGAGGUUGGCGGUGGGCUCCGAGUGAACACUUGGGGUGCUCGUCAUUGCUUAGUGUGCAGUGCAGUGUAUCAGAGAAGCAGGGGAUGCUGCAGGCACCUGGGGUGAGCUCUGGAUGCUGCUACUGAUGGUGACCAGCCUAAUAGAAGUGGCAAACCAGUUCAAGCAGUCCUUUUUCACACAUUUUUCCCUUUUCCCAAAAAUCUUGGGAUUUUUAAGCCAGAGAUGUUGUCCUUGUACUUGAAUGGCACUUGCUGGAUCUUGCUUCCAGUUUUCCCUCCUCCUAAUUCCCAAUGUUAAGUUUGCUUUUUUUGUUGUUUUGACCUCUCCUUGUCACAGCUCCACAGAAGGUCAGCUCGGUCUGUCUCUGUGCCAAAGCCUCGCAGCUGAGCAGUAGCAGCCAAGCCUACACUGCAUUUCAUCUGCCAUGAUCAGAACUUCCUUAGGUGCUCAUGGUUUAAAAAUUGGCCUUGUGUUGGUCACUGAGCAGCAUGGCUUUGGAAGCAGGUUCCCUUGGCUUGGCAGCUGCUCCACCGAGGAUCAUAUGGCAACAGCAGGGAGAAACUACCAAGCUGGGAUCUGCUGCCAGGGUUUUUCAGGGAUGCAGCUUCUGUGGGGUUGGUGGCACAGAAUGGUGGAGGAGGUGAUGUGUCUGGCAGUGCAUCCACCUCAUCCUCAGGAGGCUGAAGCCAUAAUGCACACAGAGAGCCGUGGUAGAAGCACUGAUGAACUUUGCUGGUGGUGUUUGGGUGGAGAUCACUGUUCUAGUUACAGGAGCUGGAACCACUUUAUCACCACGUGGGUAUAACCAAAAGUGUGUAUUCUACACCCUCUGUGUCAUUUCUGAGGGACUCUUAAUAAUGGAUCAUUUGCUGAAGCUGCCCAGGGCACACCUGAUACCUGAGGCUACAAGCUGGGUGUUAAAGAACCCUGUGAGGAGUGUUUCUUUGUCUUCAAACCCAUGACUCAGCUGUGAUAACUCCCCUCCAGGAGGCAUCAGCACCUUCACCUCCAGCCCAAGGGGGCAUCUCUGCUAGUGGACUGGCAUAACAGGCAGCUGCAACAACCUACAUCGUCAAAGUCUCCAAAAAUACUCCACAACUCGCUGAGUUAAAUCACCCACUGUGAAACUCCCUGCCCUGGGGGAGGUACUGGGCGUUCCCACCCGAACCUGAGCACGUAUCUUGGGGUUUUGGGACUUCUGGUACUGCUUGUCAGAUCCAGAGGAGGACCAGAAUUCCAACAGGACUGCGACUGUCACUCUUGACAAGACUGUGAUCAUCACUUCAACAGGACCAUCGUCCAGACCAACAGGUUUCUUUUCGUUUUCCUUUGCCCCUGGGGGGGGCACAUGUGGAGCUCAGCACAGCGGUGGAUGAACACCGUUCUGUUCUUGUCCCAGGGCGUGGGCUUAUACAUCUGUAUUUGUGGGUUAAAACCAGUUUUCCUGUAUUGUUGCAUUUAUUGUAAUUUUUUUUAUUUUUAGUAAAUUGUAACUUUGACUUGUAAUCUCUCAAGUUGGGUUCAUUUCCACCGAUUUCCUUUUAAACCGGCACAAUCACUCACUGCUCCCUAGAAAACAGUUUGGCCUUCUCAUCUUGGCGUGGCGGGAUGGACACGGACAGGGACAUGGGCAUAGACAUGGACAGGGACGUGGACAGGGACAGUGACAUCUCAUCCACGAUGAUGUUGGAACGGCAGAGGCUCAGUCCUCGGGCGCUGCAGCAGGUGCUGGG